GACGAACGCUGGCGGCGUGCUUAACACAUGCAAGUCGAACGGAAAGGCCCCUUUGGGGGUCCUCGAGUGGCGAACGGGUGAGUAACACGUGAGUAACCUGCCCUUGACUUCGGGAUAACUUCAGGAAACUGGGGCUAAUACCGGAUAGGAAUCCUUGCUGCAUGGUGGGGGUUGGAAAGCUUCGGCGGUUUUGGAUGGACUCGCGGCUUAUCAGCUUGUUGGUGGGGUAGUGGCUUACCAAGGCUUUGACGGGUAGCCGGCCUGAGAGGGCGACCGGCCACAUUGGGACUGAGAUACGGCCCAGACUCCUACGGGAGGCAGCAGUGGGGAAUAUUGCACAAUGGGCGGAAGCCUGAUGCAGCAACGCCGCGGGCGGGAUGACGGCCUUCGGGUUGUAAACCGCUUUCAGCAGGGGCGAAGCUUGUGGUGACGGUACCUGCAGAAGAAGCACCGGCUAACUACGUG
rnacentral:rRNA from 1 species